rnacentral:snRNA from 1 species
GGAUGUGAGGGCGAUCUGGCUGCGACAUCUGUCACCCCAUUGAUCGCCAGGGUUGAUUCAGCUGAUCUGGCUGGCUAGGCGGGUGUCCCCUUCCUCCCUCACCACUCCAUGUGCGUCCUUCCUGAAGCUGCGUGCUCGGUCGAAGAGGACGACCUUCCCUGAAUAGAGGAGGACCGGUCUUCGGUCAAGGGUACACGAGUAGCUGCACUCCCCUGCUAGAACCUCCAAACAAGCUCUCAAGAAUAAGAGACUAUACAGGUUCAUCUGAAAUACUUUUUCUGAAUAUUUUAUUUUUUAUGUAUUUAU